UACGUAGGGUGCAAGCGUUGUCCGGAAUUAUUGGGCGUAAAGAGCUCGUAGGCGGUUUGUCGCGUCUGCUGUGAAAACCCGAGGCUCAACCUCGGGCCUGCAGUGGGUACGGGCAGACUAGAGUGGCGGUAGGGGAGAUUGGAAUUCCUGGUGUAGCGGUGAAAUGCGCAGAUAUCAGGAAGAACCACCCGUGGCGAAGGCGGCUCUCUGGGACGGUACUGACGCUGAGACGCGAAAGCGUGGGGAGCGAACAGG
rnacentral:rRNA from 1 species